rnacentral:rRNA from 1 species
AUUGAACGCUGGCGGCAUGCCUUACACAUGCAAGUCGAACGGCAUCGCGGGAACGCUUGCUUUCCUGGCGGCGAGUGGCGCACGGGUGAGUAACACAUCGGAACGUACCGGCUAGUGGGGGAUAACCCGUCGAAAGACGGGCUAAUACCGCAUACGCUCUUCGGAGGAAAGCAGGGGACCUUUGGGCCUUGCGCUAGUCGAGCGGCCGAUGUCCGAUUAGCUAGUUGGUGGGGUAAAGGCCUACCAAGGCGACGAUCGGUAGCGGGUCUGAGAGGACGAUCCGCCACACUGGGACUGAGACACGGCCCAGACUCCUACGGGAGGCAGCAGUGGGGAAUCUUGGACAAUGGGGGCAACCCUGAUCCAGCAAUGCCGCGUGGGUGAAGAAGGCCUUCGGGUUGUAAAGCCCUUUCGGCAGGGAAGAAAUCGGCGGGGCGAAUAACCCUGCUGGAUGACGGUACCUGCAGAAGAAGCACCGGCUAACUACGUG